UGAUUAAUGUAAAGGUAAAAUGAAUUAUUUGAGGAAAUACUCAACAGCUAUUGAUGGAACCAGACUGUUUCUGUUUCUUUUCUAUAGAUUAGGUGAGACACUUUUACUUUAAAGACAUUUCCUGCUCCCUAGUAAGAUUUGACUUUUGUUUUAUUUAAAAAAUAAGUUAGUUAAAACUUAGUUGGGGGGAGCAGAAUAUGCUUACAUAAAACCCCAGCAAGGCUCUGUUUCUAUAGUGUUGUGAAGGUUAGGAUGUACCAUUUAGUAUGUACAAAUACUUUUUGGUUGUCAUAAUUAAAAAGGAAAGAAGUCAUCAAUGAUUGUUAUAUGGCAUUAGUACAUCUAUCUCAUUUUUUAUUUACUACUUGAAUUAAAAACCAAAGUAAUAUAAUUGUUUAAAAUUUCCCAGUUGUCUUUUUUUCCCCAAUUUUUUAUUAGGUAUUCUCUUCAUUUACAUUUCAAAUGCUAUCCCAAAAGUCCCCUAUAUCCUCCCCCCACCCUGCUCCCCUACCCACUCACUCCCACUUCUUGGCCCUGGCGUUCCCCUGUACUGGGGCAUAUAAAGUUUGCAAGACCAAGGGGCCUCUCUUUCCAGUGAUGGCUGACGAGGCCAUCUUCUGAUACAUAUGCAGGUAGAGACACGAGCUCUAGGGGUACUGGUUAGUUCAUAUUGUUGUUCCACCUAUAGUGUUGCAGACCCCUUCAGUUCCUUGGGUACUUUCUCUAGCUCCUGUAUAGGGGGCCCUGUGAUCCAUCCAAUAGCUUACUGUGAGCAUCCACUUCUGUAUUUGCCAAGCACUGGCAUAGCCUCACAAGAGACAGCUAUAUCAGGGUCCUUUCAGCAAAAUCUUGCUAGUGUAUGCAAUGGUGUCAGCAUUUGGAGAUUGAUUAUGGGAUGGAUCCCAGGGUGGGGCAGUCUCUAAAUUCCCAGUUGUCCUUUUAAAUGUGGAAAUGUUUAAUUGAAUAUACUGACAUCAUAGCUUGCCUCUCUGUCUUUGACUAAAUGGAAAGUUUCAGGGGACUUUUAGAUAAUAUUCAUAUUUAUGCCUUUCUAUAUUUCCAUGUACAGAUGUAACUGCAGCAAGAAAAUAUUUUUAGAAUAAAAAAUGUUUUAAAAAUUGGUUUAUUUUUAUGGGUAUGGGUGUUUUGCUCACAUGUAAAUCUAUGCACAGUUAGUGUUUAGUGCCUGUGGAGGCCAGAAGAGAAUAUCAGAUUGCUUAGUACUGGAGUUAGAGAUGGUUGUGAGCCACCUGUGGUGCUCUGGAAUUCAACCUGGCUCCUCUGGUGGAGUAACCAGUACUCUUAAUGGCUGAAACAUCUCUCUAGCCUUUAUUUUUGGAAUUUUUAAACAAAUAUCAAGUUUUCUUUUUAUAAAAAAAAGUUAUGUUUAUAUAAGAUAAAUUAAGAAAAUGUUUUCCUAUUUGGCAAAUAUAUCUUUAAAAAUCACUCUUUAAAAAAAUCAUGUGAUAUAUUUUUAAAGAUUUUAUGUUAGAUCUUAAAGUGUUUAAUUGAACAACGGUUUCGAUUCAACUUACAGGAUUGAUGAUGUUAACACUGGAAACUAUUUAGUAAUACAUAAUUUAACAAUAAGUAAUGGAAAUUAAUUAUUAUACAAUAAUUAUACAAUUGAAUAAAUGUAUUCCUAAAGCACGUUGUAGAGGCAUUGACUAUAAACUUCCUUCCUGCUUUCCCCUUUGCCAUUAGGUAAUGAUACAGAGUGUUACAGCAGCUGACAUGUAUAUGCUAGAUUUCUAUCUUUAGUGUUUCCUUAGGGAAAUUUGCUUUGUUUAUUUGUUUGUUGUUUAUUGUUAUUGAUUGGAAUAGAAAGGUUUCAUUACUCCAUGAUGGUUCUCAGAAUCAAGAAAGUGGAGGUAAAAGUUCAGAUCGUGACAAGCACACCAAAAUGAGAAUAACAACUAUUAGUUUGUCUAGAUACUAUUACUAUAAAGAGAGUAAAAAUUGGUUUUUUAAAAUAAUUUUCUAAUCUUAACUAUUUUAAUAGCUUAUCAUUUGUCUUAGAAAAAGUUAAUUUUAAAAAGGACUGGAGGGAGUCUCAGUGGUAAGAGCAUUGGCUGCUCUUCCAGAGAACAUAGGUUGAAUUCCUAGCGCCAUGGAGUGGCUCCUCACAACAGUCUGUAACUCAAGUUCUCGGGGUCUGAUGCUUUCUUCUGGUUUCUGCAGGCACCAGACAUACACAUGAUACACAGACAUGAUGGCAUGCAGACAAAACACCCACACACAUAAAAUAACAUAAAUUAUAAAGGACCACUUUUCUAUUGCUAAAGUAUAUGUACGAGUUCUUAACUCAUUUAAGAAUUUACUAGCUUCCUUUGCAAUUUAGCCAUAUAUUGAAAAAGAGGAAAAUUUAGUUUAUGAUUUUCCUAUGCUUUUCAGAUAUAAGCUAAUAUGACUGGUGAAUAAUUUGUUUUUGUGAAAUAAAACAUGUUACUUCUGCAUUAGUUUAAGUGGGGAUAGUUUUAAUAAAUUACUUCACCUAAAGGCAAGGACUGAGGUUGUAGCUUAAUGAUAAAAUACCUGUGAAGUCUGGUUUUCAUCUCCAAGACCACAUACAAGGAAGAGUUGGCAGUUUAUAAUUUAAUAUGACUUUAUCUUUGUCUUGCUUUUCAUUAUUUUAUGGAUUUUUGUGGUUUUUAAGACUGGUGAAAAGAGAAAUCCACCUUAUUUCUUUCAGAGUAUGGAUGAGGUGACAGUAAGUAGAUCCCAUUAGUUAGACGUGUUGAGCAAGGUGACUACAUUCAGGUUUCUCGAAUCAGAUCUUCCCAAGCUCCUUUCUUUCCCAGAUAUCUCUUGAGUAUUUCUCAUGACACAGCAAUAAAACCCAGCUCUGUUCUUUUACUCUUAGCAAUCAAUCAGUAUACUAGGCAUUGGUGGGGAGGACAUAAAGCCAUUCAAGAUUUAAAAUGAACAUAUCUAGUAGAAUACCUCACUUUAGUAUUAAACAGUUGAGUUGCUGUGUUGAAGGCAUCACUUUUAUAAAGCAAAUUUUGAGGCAUAACCUCAAAGGUGAAAGCCCUGCAUUGUCUAAUACUUAUCUGACCCUUUUGUCUUGUGAUUCUAUGUUCAAUGAAGAAAUGGAUCUAUACAUCCAGUUUUAAAGACUCACCUCAUUCACACACAUUCAUUAUUCCUUCAAAAACAUGGAGUGUUUGCUCUUGGUGCUGGACAGAGGGCGCAUUAGAUACAGUGUUGCCUUGUCUUUGCCUCUCAAGAGGCUUUAUUACAUGACAACCAUCUUUUGAACCUUGAAAUGGAUUGAUUCAAUUUGAUUCUUUUGUGAUGUCCUAUAUGAGUUCUGACUCUCAAAGGCUGUAAAGAAUGAAUGUGGCUUAAGUGAAACAAAGACAGUGACUUGGAGAAAGAUAUUAAAUCCCAAGUGUAAGGUUUCACAUUGUUAAGUGCAAGACUUCCUUAGGGAAGGGAAGAAUAUGAUUACAAUUACAUUUCAGACUUUUGAGAAGUGGUAGUCAAAGGGAUAUUACCUAAUUUUUAUUUUUUUUAAGUACUGGAUACUCAAAAAACUAUAACUAGAAAAUGAUACAUGAGAAAAAAUAUUAUACCCCUGUGCUCAAGUCCUCCUCCCUUUAGGAGGAUAUCCGUUCAUUACUCCAUGAUUUACUGAUUAAGUUUGCUUUCAGAAAUUGUUUUUUUUUUGUUGUUGUUGUUGAUUUUAAAAUCACAGACAAGAUGCAUACAUGUGAAUGUCUCUCUAUGGAUGCAUGCAUACGUGCGCACAUGUGUGUUUGUCAUUGAUGAAGUAUUUUCAGUUUUAUAUUGGAACUAUUGUUUCUGUGCCUUUGAAAUUCAGAGUUUGGAGAAUUGUAAGUUGUGUUUUACUGGGUGGGAUAUGGUAAUCCUUUAAUUCAUUUCUAGAGGUCAUUUCUCUGCACGUAAUCUAUUCUUAAAAGAUGUGUCAUGUCUUCCACAAAAUUUGUUAUGGCUUAGCCCAAUCAUGUAUAAGUUUUUAGAAGAUAUGUAACUAAUUUGAUGAAGAUUUAUUCAUGAUCUUAAAAUUUAAAGCAGUGUGUGUGUGUGUGUGUGUGUGUCUGUGUGUCUGUGUGUCUGUGUGUUUGUCUGUGUGUGUGUCUGUGUAUGUGUUGUUUGUUUGUUUUUGACAGGUUCUCUAUGUAACUGUCCUAGUUAGGGUUAUCAUUGCUGUAAUGAAACACCAUGUAACUUAGGGAGGUAAGAGUUUAUUUGAUUUGUACUUCCAUGUUACUGUCAUCAUUGAAGGGAGUCAGGAUAGGACUCAAAUAAGGUAGGACCUGAAGGCAAGAGCUGAUGCAGAGGCCAUGAAGGAGUGCUGCUCACUGUCUUGAUCCUUAUGACUCCUUCAGCCAUCUUUCUUACAGAAUCCAGAGCUACCAGCCCACGAGUGACCACACACACAGUAGGCUGGGACCUUCCCAUCAAUCACUAAUUAAGAAAAUGCCCUUAUAGGCUUACCGACAGCCAGAUCUUACGGAGGCAUUCUAUCAAUUGAGGCUGCCUCCUUUUUGAUGACUUGCUUAUGUCAAGUUGACAUAACACUCAUAAGCACAGUAAAAUAGGCUAACCUGGAGAUCACAGUAAAAUAGGCUAACCUGGAGAUCACUUUAACCUGGAGAUCACACUAAAAUAGGCUAACCUGGAGGUCACUUUAACCUGGAGAUCACAGUAAAAUAGGCUAACCUGGAGGUCACUUUAACCUGGAGGUCACAGUAAAAUAGGCUAACCUGGAGGUCACUUUAACCUGGAGGUCACAAUAAAAUAGGCUAACCUGGAGAUCACUUUAACCUGGAGAUCACAGUAAAAUAGGCUAACCUGGAGGUCACAGUAAAAUAGGCUAACCUGGAGGUCACUUUAACCUGGAGGUCACAGUAAAAUAGGCUAACCUGGAGGUCACUUUAACCUGGAGGUCACAAUAAAAUAGGCUAACCUGGAGGUCACUUUAACCUGGAGAUCACAGUAAAAUAGGCUAACCUGGAGGUCACAGUAAAAUAGGCUAACCUGGAGGUCACUUUAACCUGGAGAUCACAGUAAAAUAGGCUAACCUGGAGAUCACUUUAACCUGGAGGUCACAGUAAAAUAGGCUAACCUGGAGGUCACUUUAACCUGGAGAUCACAGUAAAAUAGGCUAACCUGGAGGUCACAGUAAAAUAGGCUAACCUGGAGGUCACUUUAACCUGGAGGUCACAGUAAAAUAGGCUAACCUGGAGAUCACUUUAACCUGGAGAUCACAGUAAAAUAGGCUAACCUGGAGGUCACAGUAAAAUAGGCUAACCUGGAGGUCACUUUAACCUGGAGAUCACAGUAAAAUAGGCUAACCUGGAGGUCACUUUAACCUGGAGGUCACAGUAAAAUAGGCUAACCUGGAGGUCACUUUAACCUGGAGAUCACAGUAAAAUAGGCUAACCUGGAGGUCACUUUAACCUGGAGAUCACAGUAAAAUAGGCUAACCUGGAGGUCACUUUAACCUGGAGGUCACAGUAAAAUAGGCUAACCUGGAGGUCACUUUAACCUGGAGAUCACAGUAAAAUAGGCUAACCUGGAGAUCACUUUAACCUGGAGGUCACAGUAAAAUAGGCUAACCUGGAGGUCACUUUAACCUGGAGAUCACAGUAAAAUAGGCUAACCUGGAGGUCACAGUAAAAUAGGCUAACCUGUAGAUCACUUUAACCUGGAGAUCACAGUAAAAUAGGCUAACCUGGAGGUCACUUUAACCUGGAGAUCACAGUAAAAUAGGCUAACCUGGAGGUCACUUUAACCUGGAGAUCACAGUAAAAUAGGCUAACCUGGAGGUCACUUUAACCUGGAGAUCACAGUAAAAUAGGCUAACCUGGAGGUCACAGUAAAAGCUAACCUGUAGAUCACUUUAACCUGGAGAUCACAGUAAAAUAGGCUAACCUGG